AAGGCUUUGUUUCGCGUCGAGCAGACUGCUGUCGAAUGGCUUCGUAUGCAUGAGUUCUACGUUCGAAUGUGAUCGCCGCUACGUUUGGUAGGAAUUAGCGGCGUCUCUGUGAAAAGGGCAUUACGCAUUACAUUAAGCAUGACUGAUAAAGAUGGGUACAUCGAGAAUGUUGGGUUUCUAUAUCGCACAAUGGUGGAGAGAGAUCCAAGCAAGCGAAGGGUGAAGCCCGUUGAAAAUCACCUGCAACUGCUUGAUUUCGCCGACUUGGGUGACAGUUCGGAUGACAGCGACUUCCAAAUCGAUGACCAUGAGAAAGAUCUGGAAUCUGACGAUCAAGGGGAUUCCUCAGAAAAUUUGGAUGAUGAAGACGACGAGGAGUCAUCUGGAGCAGCUUCGGAAGCAGAACAAAAAUUUUCUCCGCCCGAGGUGGCUAAUGGCGUUGCAGAGCCGGAUGAAACAAAGAAAGUUCCCAAGCUCAUUGUUGGUGACCUCAUUGAGAGGGCAAGGCAAAGACAAAGUCAAGCACGACAGAGAAUAUCGGGUGAAGGUGAAUCUUCCCUGAAGCUGAAAAUCACAAUCUGUUCUGUUUGCCUUGGUGACAUAAGCAUAGAAGAUGAUGAAAUUGUGGAGUGCGACUGCUGUGGUGUGUCUGUUCAUGAAGGUUGCUAUGGUAUUACUGACAGCGACUCGGUCAUGAGUACGGGCUCCUCUAGUUCGACAGAGCCGUGGUUUUGUGAUGCCUGUCGAGCUGGGCAGAAAGAACCUAUGUGUGAACUCUGCCCAAACACCGGAGGCAUAUUCAAGGAAACGGACGUUGGAAAGUGGGUGCACCUGGUUUGUGCACUGUACAUCCCAGGGGUGGCCUUUGGCAAUGUGGAGAAGCUCACUCCUGUCACGCUGUUUGAGAUGCCCUACUCUCGAUGGGGUGCCAAGUCAUGUGUGCUGUGUGAAGAUGAGCGUCUCAGCCGAACUGGAGUGUGCAUCACAUGUGACGCUGGCAUGUGCAAGGCAUCGUUUCAUGUGACCUGUGCCCAGAGGGAAGGCUUGCUCUCCGAAGCUUCAAUGGAAGAGAUUGCAGAUCCAUUCUUUGCCUAUUGCAAGCUGCAUGCUGACAAGAUGAUUGUCCGAAGCAAGCGGAGGAACUGGCUUGCCCUGCAGUCGCGCAACAAGAAUCAAGUAGCUGCUCUCCAAGACUCUACAGAGAAGGCUCGCGUGGAGCGCAAAUUGGCCUGGCACCGGGAGCGGUACCAACGUCAUCGUGCCGAACGGCCCCCACCAUGGGUGCCAACACAGAAGAUGGCACGUCUGCUGACGAGCAGCCCGUGGGCGUGCCGACAACUGCUGCGCAAGGCCCAGCUCAUGGGCGUGUCUCAGCCAAGCCACCUGGCGGCCGAAGGGGUGGCGGAUGCCCGCCGCAAGUGGCACGUGCCACCCGCCUUCAGCCUCGAGUUUGUCAGCUACUACCUGGAUCGCAGUAACCGUGUGGCAACGAUGCGGCGCCACUUGGACGAGCUUUUACAGCAGAAUUCGGAGCUCCAGGACCAGGAACAGGUACUCAGGCAACAGUAUGAUCAGGCGAUUGUCCAAUUGGAGGAGAUGAAAAAGGAGCACACUCACAUGCACGAGUGCGGUGUACAGUAUUGGAAGAUGCUGUGUGACAUUACAAACAAGAAGCUUCCCAUGCCAGAAGUACUUGAAUCCAGGAAGCCAGCAGCCAAGCCAGCCAGCCGAACGAGCCGUAGAUCUGAUUCCGGGUCAUCAUUCCUCUUUGAGUGUGGUGUCUGCAAGAAAUCUCAGGACCAGCAUCAGCUUGCCAAGUGCGACAAGUGCCAGCUACACUACCACCUCUACUGUCUUGACCCACCACUCACCAGGAUGCCGAAAAAAAACAAGUCAAUGGGAUGGCAGUGUAGCGAAUGCAACAAGAACUCUGAUGAGGACAAGGAGAGGCAUUGCGACCCCAAUGCACCACGGCGCCUGCGAGAUCAACCUCGAGGCACACUGCGCUAUGAGGACUUCCCCUUCAUAGAGACCCCCAGAAAGUUGCAGACCAGUCGUCUGAGUCGCCGCGUGCGACAGUCGCGGACCUGCAUUGUACCAGACGCCCCAAAUGUCACUGCUACGACCUCUGCCACUCCCGUUGCCACCGCUGCCGCCACCACUACUACCACAGCCACGGUCACUGCCACGGUCACUUCUAGUGCAACCAUCACUGCACCUAUGGCAACAGCGACAUCAACAACUGUUGGUGGUGACUCACUAGAAAACCCUACGGAGCCUGCAGAUGUGGCCUCCCAGAGCCCAGCUGCCAAGCGGCAGCGAAGCUCGACGGGCCAAGGGAAGCGUCCUCGCCGUCGCCUGGCUCCCGAAAUGCAGGCCUACCGCAAGGCAAAGCGAGCCAAGCGCAAGUCCGCUCCUGCGGCAGUGGCACCAGCACCAGCUGCGACAACACCUGCCCCAGUUCCUAAAAGUGAACCCUCCACACCGUACAUUGAGGCAGUCCCUGGUGUGUCCGGGAUUCGCAUGCCAGUGAAGAGGACUCCGCUGGACAAAGACCUGAAGGUGGAGUGCAAGCGGUGCGGUAAUCCGGGUGACUGCACAAAUCUUGUUGUCUGUGAUGAGUGCAAGAAGGGCUACCACUUCCUCUGCCUGUAUCCACCUGUGCGAAAGAGCCCGAAGCAGCGGGGCUACACCUGGAACUGUGAAGAGUGCAACUCUUCAUAGGAGCAGCGACGCAUGCACCUUUAAGCGCUGCAAGAACACAGUAAGCGUCAACACUACUUUAAUUGAUGAAGAGGACUCAAGAAAAAGAAGAAUACUGGCCAGUCACUUUGGAUAUUAGCGUCAUUCCUUCUUCCGUCUCAGCAUUUUCUUCUGUUACUGCUGACAUCGCCAAGUUGCUGCCAUGACUCGGACCGCGUUGCCAUCUCUCAUUUUGUAUCGUUGUCAAAAGGUGUUUCUGACAAGCGUGAAUAAAACAGUAUACGAAGUGU
rnacentral:misc_RNA from 1 species